AGUUGGGGGCAUUAAUAUUUAAUUGUCAGAGGUGAAAUUCUUGGAUUUAUGAAAGAUUAACUUCUGCGAAAGCAUCUGCCAAGGAUGUUUUCAUUAAUCAAGAACGAAAGUUAGGGGAUCGAAGACGAUCAGAUACCGUCGUAGUCUUAACCAUAAACGAUGCCGACCAGCGAUUAGGAGACGUUGAAUACAAAACACCACCA
rnacentral:rRNA from 1 species